AGAGUUUGAUCAUGGCUCAGGGAUGACGCUGGCGGCGUGUCUAAGGGCAUGCAAGUCGAAAUGUGUACCUUCGGGUAUGCAUGGCAAACGGGAGAGUAACACAUUGGUAAUCUGCCCCGAGGACGAGAAUAACCCGGAGAAAUCCGAGAUAAUACUCGAUAAUAGUGGGGGGUCUUAUGACAUUCCCACUUAAAGUUCAGGCGCCUCGGGAGGAGCCUAUGACCUAUCAGCUUGUUGGUUGGGGUAAAAGCCCACCAAGGCUACGACGGGUACCGGGUGUGAGAGCAUGACCCGGCUCACUGGGACUGAGAAACUGCCCAGACUCCUACGGGAGGCUGCAGUCAAGAAUCUUCCACAAUGGCCGAAAGGCUGAUGGAGCGACGCCGCGUGUAUGGAGAAGCCCUUCGGGGUGUAAAAUACUUUUAUGUGGGACGAAACAAUGACGGUACCACAAGAAUAAGGG
rnacentral:rRNA from 1 species